rnacentral:rRNA from 1 species
AGGACGAACGCUGGCGGCGUGCUUAACACAUGCAAGUGGAGCGACGAACCAGGGCUUGCCCUGGGGCAGAGCCGCGAACGGGUGAGUAACACGUGGGUUACCUGCCCCGAUGACCGGGACAACCCGAGGAAACUCGGGCUAAUACCGGAUGUGCCCGCAAGGGGAAAGGAAGCUUCGGCCUCCGCAUCGGGAUGGGCCCGCGGCCCAUUAGCUUGUUGGUGAGGUAACGGCUCACCAAGGCUUCGAUGGGUAGCUGGUCUAAGAGGACGAUCAGCCACACUGGGACUGAGACACGGCCCAGACUCCUACGGGAGGCAGCAGUGGGGAAUCUUGCGCAAUGCGCGAAAGCGUGACGCAGCAACGCCGCGUGGGGGAAGAAGGCUUUCGGGUUGUAAACCCCUUUCAGUUGGGACGAAGCUCCGCAGGUGAAUAGCCGGCUGGGGUGACGGUACCUUCAGAAGAAGCACCGGCUAACUACGUGCCAGCAGCCGC